ensembl:miRNA
GAGGUGGGAGGAUUGCUUGAGCCUGGGAGGUCGAGGCUGCAGUGAGCUGUGAUGGUGCCACUGCACUCCAGCCUGAGUGAUAGAGCAAGACCGUGUCUCA